rnacentral:misc_RNA from 1 species
UCCUCGUUUAAGCGAGGCAGUCUGUCCAGAGUGCUUCAAACUCUCGUUUGAGUGGCAACAGGACACAAGGGUUGCGCUCGUUGCGGGACUUAACCCAACAUCUCACGACACGAGCUGACGACAGCCAUGCAGCACCUGUGUUCCGAUUCCCGAAGGCACUCCCGCAUCUCUGCAGGAUUCCGGACAUGUCAAGCCCAGGUAAGGUUCUUCGCGUUGCGUCGAAUUAAACCACAUGCUCCACCGCUUGUGCGGGCCCCCGUCAAUUCCUUUGAGUUUCAGCCUUGCGGCCGUACUCCCCAGGCGGGCAACUUAAUGCGUUAGCUGCGCCACUAAGAGCUCAAGGCUCCCAACGGCUAGUUGACAUCGUUUACGGCGUGGACUAC